GACGAACGCUGGCGGCGUGCUUAACACAUGCAAGUCGAACGGAAAGGCCCUGCUUUUGUGGGGUGCUCGAGUGGCGAACGGGUGAGUAACACGUGAGUAACCUGCCCUUGACUUUGGGAUAACUUCAGGAAACUGGGGCUAAUACCGGAUAGGAGCUCCUGCUGCAUGGUGGGGGUUGGAAAGUUUCGGCGGUUGGGGAUGGACUCGCGGCUUAUCAGCUUGUUGGUGGGGUAGUGGCUUACCAAGGCUUUGACGUGUAGCCGGCCUGAGAGGGUGACCGGCCACAUUGGGACUGAGAUACGGCCCAGACUCCUACGGGAGGCAGCAGUGGGGAAUAUUGCACAAUGGGCGGAAGCCUGAUGCAGCAACGCCGCGUGCGGGAUGACGGCCUUCGGGUUGUAAGCCGCUUUCGCCUGUGACGAAGCGUGAGUGACGGUAAUGGGUAAAGAAGCACCGGCUAACUACGUG
rnacentral:rRNA from 1 species